GCCAUCCGAAAAUGCUGCCUCUACGUGGCGGAUGGCAGGCAACGAGAGUUUCCUCUCGGCUAAAGCAUAU
rfam:Faecalibacterium prausnitzii SL3/3 draft genome.